rnacentral:rRNA from 1 species
GACAGAGGCCUCGAGCGUUAGGCGGAAUCACUGGGCUUAAAGCGUGUGUAGGCGGGCCCGUAAGUGUCUUGUGAAAUCCCACGGCUCAACCGUGGAACUGCUGGGCAUACUGCGGGUCUUGGGCCAACUAGGGGCAGCCGGAACAAGCGGUGGAGCGGUGAAAUGCGUAGAUAUCGCUUGGAACGCCGAAGGUGAAAACAGGCUGCUGGGGUUGCGCUGACGCUGAGACACGAAAGCCAGGGGAGCAAACGGG